rnacentral:rRNA from 1 species
AGUGAACGCUGGCGGUAGGCCUAACACAUGCAAGUCGAACGGCAGCACAGUAAGAGCUUGCUCUUACGGGUGGCGAGUGGCGGACGGGUGAGGAAUACAUCGGACUCUACUUUUUCGUGGGGGAUAACGUAGGGAAACUUACGCUAAUACCGCAUACGACCUACGGGUGAAAGCAGGAGAUCUUCGGACCUUGCGCGAUUGCAUGAGCCGUUGUCGGGUUAGCUAGUUGGCGGGGUAAAGGCCCACCAAGGCGACGAUCCGUAGCUGGUCUGAGAGGAUGAACAGCGACACUGGAACUGAGACACGGUCCAGAGUCCUACGGGAGGCAGCAGUGGGGAAUAUUGGACAAUGGGCGGAAGCCUGAUCCAGCCAUACCGCGUGGGUGAAGAAGGCCUUCGGGUUGUAAAGCCCUUUUGUUGGGAAAGAAAAGCAGCAGGUUAAUACCACGCUGUUCUGACGGUACCCAAAGAAUAAGCACCGGCUAACUUCGUG